AAAUAAUCAUUCCAUUAGAGAACUUGUCGAAAGAUUCGAAAUCGUUCAAUUAAAGUCUUUGAUAUUAUUAUCUUCGUUUUUUCAACUUUUAUAUCAUCGUUAUUUAUAACGAUUUUUCAAGCAGCCUAGUUCGCUAAUGUGCCGCGCGUGUUGCGAUCGUUCGCGUUAAUUUUUCUUCGAAGGGCGAAACUUUUAUUUCUUUAUUUAUAGUUAGAUUGGAAUGAAUGAUGCGAUAACGAUAUCACUCGAUUUGCUCACUCGUUAUUUGGAUUUGUUUUUAUAAAUGAAUUUAAGGGCGUACGAGGAAUCACGGCGCGUGACAUCGGGUGAAACACGAAAUGGCCGCCGUGCCGGAAGUGCGACGCAAAACAACUCUUAUGACAGAAAUGUCUGAUCCAACGAACCGAAUUGUAUGACCCCCAGGACAAAGGAUAGAGGCGACAUUGUUAUUGGUGCAGUCGUCGGAAAGUAGAACAAAGGAGAGUGGAGGGGGUAAAGCGUCAUCGAAACGAAACGGUUCUUGUGCGCAGCUCGAAAAUUCCAAAUCAAGAAGUCGUUGAGGUUGUGAUCGUUGCGACGACGAAAAUAAUUAUAGGGAAAGUAUAAAAUGGAGAGGAUCCGUCCUGGUUGGUGGGCCGCUCGAAAAUUUGGACUUUGGUUUUGCCGUCAGCAUUUUUGGGAACAUCAAGAGUAGUGGGUAUUUUGAUGGGUACUAUGGUGCCUUGAGGAAUGAGGAUGGGUUCAAGAUCG